UACGUAGGGGGCUAGCGUUGUCCGGAAUCAUUGGGCGUAAAGCGCGCGUAGGCGGCCCGGUAAGUCCGUUGUGAAAGUCAAAGGCUCAACCUUUGAAAGCCGAUGGAUACUGCCGGGCUAGAGUCCGGAAGAGGCGAGUGGAAUUCCUGGUGUAGCGGUGGAAUGCGCAGAUAUCAGGAGGAACACCGAUAGCGAAGGCAGCUCGCUGGGACGGUACUGACGCUAAGGCGCGAAAGCGUGGGGAGCAAACAGGAU
rnacentral:rRNA from 1 species